GUCUUCGCGGUGUAGUGGUCAGCACGCUGGGCGUGCAUUCUAGAGGUCCGUGGUUCGAAUCCCGGCGAAGGCG
rfam:Stegodyphus mimosarum contig126078, whole genome shotgun sequence.